rnacentral:rRNA from 1 species
UACGGGGGGGGCAAGCGUUGUUCGGAAUUACUGGGCGUAAAGGGCUCGUAGGCGGCCAACUAAGUCGGACGUGAAAUCCCCAGGCUCAACCUGGGAACUGCGUCCGAUACUGGAUGGCUUGAAUUCGGGAGAGGGAUGCAGAAUUCCGGGUGUAGUGGUGAAAUGCGUAGAGAUCCGGAGGAACACCAGUGGCGAAGGCGGCCUGCUGGCUGACAACUGACGCUGAGGCGCGAAAGCAUGGGGAGCGAACGGG